rnacentral:rRNA from 1 species
GCUAAACGCGAAGAACCUUACCUACCCUUGACAUGUCCGGAAGCCUGCUGAAAGGUGGGUGUGCUCGAAAGAGAACCGGAACACAGGUGCUGCAUGGCUGUCGUCAGCUCGUGUCGUGAGAUGUUGGGUUAAGUCCCGCAACGAGCGCAACCCUUGUCCCUAGUUGCUACGCAAGGGCACUCUAGGGAGACUGCCGGUGACAAACCGGAGGAAGGUGGGGAUGACGUCAAGUCCUCAUGGCCCUUAUGGGUAGGGCUUCACACGUCAUACAAUGGACGGUACAGAGGGUUGCCAACCCGCGAGGGGGAGCCAAUCCCAGAAAGCCGUUCGUAGUCCGGAUCGCAGUCUGCAACUCGACUGCGUGAAGUCGGAAUCGCUAGUAAUCGCGGAUCAGAACGCCGCGGUGAAUACGUUCCCGGGUCUUGUACACACCG